AGUUCAAGAGUCCCUAAUCAAGUUCACUGAUGAAAACAUGAAAAAAGUAGCUGCAGAGAUUUUUCUUGCUAUAAUGAAAUUUACGGGAGACAACCCAUAUGAAAGGCCAGACGGAGCAGGAGGUCAUCAGCACUAUCCUAAGAGUAUGCAGCUCUUCAAAAAGCACAACGAGAACUCCCAUCAUGAAUUAUUAAGAUAACCAGACAGGAAUGUGCUAAAUAUCUUCAUUGCCACUGCAGUAUGCAAUAUGAAUAAUCUCUGUUGCAGCUGUAAUAAGAGAUGAAGCGUACUGUCAUGUCCUCAAGCAGAUCAGUGGGAACACCAGCUCCAAGACAUAUGAGUCUGCUUCUUCUGAAUGAGAAAACCAUGGAGGGCUCAUUUUAAUGUCAUAAGAUGAUCUAGAGCUGUCAGAGGGGCUGCAGGCUCCUGUACAUCCUCACUGCAUACAAGUGUUUAGAGGCAACCUUACCUGCUGAAGGAGCUCCAAGACAUCUGUGCACUUUCAGGGUAUACUGCUGUGUUAAGUUACAGUUACACAGAUCAAACAGAUGAAUACUGACUGAUGAUUACACAAACAUGUUGACUCUAUGAUAUUUAUUGCAACUUGAUCAACAAUGUAAUUCAUUCAGUAGGAGCAAUGUGAUUUUAAUUCACUUUUGUUACUUUGGAGGUGGCUUUGGAUGCCAUUGAAGAGCUGUGCUAUAAGAUGGGUCUGCAUAAACUUUGAGCCUUUGAUGAAUAUGCUAUAUAUGUGGUCACAAACAGAGGUGUUCGCUGACUACUUGAAUGUCCCACGGGGAAAAACCAGUGAGCUGCAGCUUCAGCAAGUGUCAAAACUGGCAGCUCUUUAACAUCAUGCCAAGGACUUGAUCUACUUGCCCACCUUGUAAUGCAAUUAAUCUGACUGACACCAUACUGAAUUUACCAAGCAGAUAAAGAACUGACUUGUUAUGUAUCAAUGAAAAGCUUAAAAGAUGUCACAUUUACUCCACUUUACAAUUACAAAUUACAAUUGCACUUCGUACAGUAUGUGUGAAUAGAUUACUAUGUAUUUUAGUCCUUAUACAUAUUUAAAUGAUUAUUAUAACAUACCUUUCAAAGGUUUGGGGUCUGUAAGACUUUUUAUUUAAUACUUUUAUUCAUUAAGGAAGCAUUAAAUUGAGCAAUUGAAAGUAAAGACAUUUAUAAUGUUACAAAAGAUUUAAAUGUUUCAAAUAAAUACUAUUCUUUUGAACUUUUUGUUUAUAAGACAAUUCUGAAAAAUGUGGUAUCCUCAGAAAUACUAAUAUUCAGCAGAACAACUGUUUUCAACACUGAUUAUAAGAAGAAAUGUUUAAGCAGCAGAUCAGCACAUCAGAAUGAUUUCUGAAGGAUCAUGUGACACUGAAGACUGAAAAUUCAGCUUCGCAACACAGGACUGAAUUACAGUUUAACAUAAUAUUAAAACAGAAGGCAGUCAUUUUAAAUUUUAUAUUACAAUAUAACAUUAUUAAUGUAUUUUCAAUCAAAUAAAUGCAGUCUUGAGUAUAAGAGACUUCUUUUCAAAAACGUUAAAAGAUUUUCCCAACCAUAGACUUUGAACAGUAGAAUGUGAUAUACAUUAAGCUUGCCAUUAUUCUGCUCUCCU